UCCUCUUUACAGAGGCAGUUUGUUCCGAGUUCCCGGCAUUACCCGCUGGCAACAGAACAUGAGGGUUGCGCUCGUUGCGGGACUUAACCCAACAUUUCACAACACGAGCUGACGACAGCCAUGCACCACCUGUGGAUCACCCUCGAAGGCGGCUCCGUUUCGGGAGCUUGCAGAUCCAUGUCAAACCCUGGUAAGGUUCUUCGCGUUGCAUCGAAUUAAAGAACAUGCUCCGCUGCUUGUGCGGGCCCCCGUCAAUUCCUUUGAGUUUUAGCCUUGCGGCCGUACUCCCCAGGCGGAACACUUGUCGCGUUGGCUACGGCACGGAACCCGUUGAUAAGGCCCCACACCUAGUGCCCAACGUUUACGGCGUGGACUAC
rnacentral:misc_RNA from 1 species